AGAAGUUCCUCCUGUUGCUAAGCUGGCUGGGUGACCUACUUGUACUGUCACUGGAUACUGAGCAUCCUUGUUCGAACACAAAAAAUCUUGUGAAAGAAAUAAUCUACAUUGCAUGGCUCAGAGUAUGGAAAUUAAAACUUCAGUGUCAACCCUUGUACGGGCACUUCUCAUGGGAAAAAAUAUGAAACAUGUGAACAUCUCUCAUCAUCUUUAUAAUCUAUAAACCCUUCUGGAUGGGCUUACUAGCACAUCCCUGGAGAGACAGCAGGCUGACCAGAGGGAUGGAGAGCUAUAGGGACAGAAUUGCUCUACUGGCCUCAGUUGGAGAGAAAAGAGCUGAAACAGCCUAAUACUGAUCAACAUAUGCUAGCACAUAUGGGUGGAUUUGUGUAAGAAAACAACAACAUCAUCAUCAUAAAAAUGAGGAUAAUGAGGAUGACCAAGUGUGAAAAGCUGGGACUAGCUGUGCCAUAGUAGAUCACCACCCUUAGCCUCAUGUAAUGGUUUGCAGUCUUGGCAGAUAAAAA